UGCCGCGUGAAUGAUGAAGGUCUUAGGAUUNGUAAAAUUCUUUCACCGGGGACGAUAAUGACGGUACCCGGAGAAGAAGCCCCGGCUAACUUCGUGCCAGCAGCCGCGGUAAUACGAAGGGGGCUAGCGUUGCUCGGAAUUACUGGGCGUAAAGGGAGCGUAGGCGGAUAGUUUAGUCAGAGGUGAAAGCCCAGGGCUCAACCUUGGAAUUGCCUUUGAUACUGGCUAUCUUGAGUACGGAAGAGGUAUGUGGAACUCCGAGUGUAGAGGUGAAAUUCGUAGAUAUUCGGAAGAACACCAGUGGCGAAGGCGACAUACUGGUCCGUUACUGACGCUGAGGCUCGAAAGCGUGGGGAGCAAACAGGAUUAGAUACCCUGGUAGUCCACGCUGUAAACGAUGAGUGCUAGUUGUCGGCAUGCAUGCAUGUCGGUGACGCAGCUAACGCAUUAAGCACUCCGCCUG
rnacentral:rRNA from 1 species